rnacentral:lncRNA from 1 species
AUAUCCAAAUAUCAAGAUCAUUCAUAUGUAAUUCCUCAAACAUCCUCAGAGCACCUAAAAAUGUGUCUAAAAGCAAAAUAAAGUAUGAAAAACGACGAAAAAUUAAAAUCGUGCAAUAAUCGUGCGAAUGGUUUUUAUGCCCAUAAUUGUUCAGAAACAAAGUCUGAUGUUUUAAGCUCCAAAAUCCUUUCUAACUUACACGUAACACUAUGAAAAAUUAAGAACCGACGCAAGUUUUUACUUUGUUUGGGAAAGUUUAAAACAUUGGAUUCAAGAUAUUCAAAUUCAUUUCCAUUUAAAAACCCGCCAAAACAAUGCUUUCAUAUUUUAAAGCUUGACUUGACUCAGUGAAAAUCGUUUUCAAAGCAAAACAUAAAAUUUCAAAAGGAUUAGGCUUCGAGUGCUCCCCCCUGCAAACUGCUGAAACAAUUUACCACAUAAUUAAUCACAUCAAGCACCGAUAACAACUUCACAAAUAAUAUCCAAAUAUCAAGAUCAUUCAUAUGUAAUCCUCAAACAUCCUCAGAGCACCUAAAAAUGUGUCUAAAAGCAAAAUAAAGUAUGAAAAACGACGAAAAAUUAAAAUCGUGCAAUAAUCGUGCGAAUGGUUUUUAUGCCCAUAAUUGUUCAGAAACAAAGUCUGAUGUUUUUAAGCUCCAAAAUCCUUUCUAACUUACACGUAACACUAUGAAAAAUUAAAACCGAC